CCUACGGGGGGCUGCAGUAAGGAAUAUUGGACAAUGGGCGCAAGCCUGAUCCAGCCAUGCCGCGUGCAGGAUGACGGCCCUAUGGGUUGUAAACUGCUUUUAUACGGGAAAAAACCCCUCUACGUGUAGAGGGCUGAUGGUACCGUAAGAAUAAGGAUCGGCUAACUCCGUGCCAGCAGCCGCGGUAAUACGGAGGAUCCGAGCGUUAUCCGGAUUUAUUGUGUGUAAGGGGUGCUGAGAGGGAGUGGUGAAAUCCUGCAGCUUAACUGUAGAACUGCCAUUGAUACUGCAAGUCUUGAGUACAGAUGAGGUGGGCGGAAUGUGUAGUGUAGCGGUGAAAUGCUUAGAUAUUACACAGAACACCAAUUGCGAAGGCAGCUCACAAAACUGUAACUGACGCUGAGGCACGAAAGCGUGGGGAGUGAACAGGAUUAGAUACCCUGGUAGUC
rnacentral:rRNA from 1 species